UAAAGAAAAAAAGUAAGAAACAUAUUUCAGUAGAGUAUAUAUGCGUGUAUUUAGAUAUAUUCAGGGAAAUUACAUCUACAAUGGAAGAUAUCAGCCGCAACAUAAAUCAAUACCAAAAAGUUAAAGUGGAUAGUGAAAGACAA